rnacentral:rRNA from 1 species
UACGGAGGAUGCGAGCGUUAUCCGGAUUUAUUGGGUUUAAAGGGUGCGCAGGCGGAGGCACAAGUCAGCGGUAAAAUCGCGGGGCUCAACCCCGCUCCGCCGUUGAAACUGUGUCCCUUGAGUGCGCGAAGGGUAGGCGGAAUGCGUGGUGUAGCGGUGAAGUGCAUAGAUAUCACGCAGAACUCCGAUUGCGAAGGCAGCAUACCGGCGCCCUACUGACGCUGAGGCACGAAAGCGUGGGUAUCGAACAGG